rnacentral:rRNA from 1 species
CGGGAUAACAACCUGGAAACAAGAUGCUAAUACCGGAUAACAACAGAUGAUGCCUAUCAACUGUUUAAAAGAUGGUUCUGCUAUCACUCUUGGAUGGACCUGCGGUGCAUUAGCUAGUUGGUAGGGUAACGGCCUACCAAGGCGAUGAUGCAUAGCCGAGUUGAGAGACUGAUCGGCCACAUUGGGACUGAGACACGGCCCAAACUCCUACGGGAGGCAGCAGUU